AUUGAACGCUGGCGGCAGGCCUAACACAUGCAAGUCGAGCGGAUGAAGGGAGCUUGCUCCUGGAUUCAGCGGCGGACGGGUGAGUAAUGCCUAGGAAUCUGCCUGGUAGUGGGGGAUAACGUCCGGAAACGGGCGCUAAUACCGCAUACGUCCUGAGGGAGAAAGUGGGGGAUCUUCGGACCUCACGCUAUCAGAUGAGCCUAGGUCGGAUUAGCUAGUUUGUGGGGUAAAGGCCUACCAAGGCGACGAUCCGUAACUGGUCUGAGAGGAUGAUCAGUCACACUGGAACUGAGACACGGUCCAGACUCCUACGGGAGGCAGCAGUGGGGAAUAUUGGACAAUGGACGAAAGCCUGAUCCAGCCAUGCCGCGUGUGUGAAGAAGGUCUUCGGAUUGUAAAGCACUUUAAGUUGGGAGGAAGGGCAGUAAGUUAAUACCUUGCUGUUUUGACGUUACCAACAGAAUAAGCACCGGCUAACUUCGUG
rnacentral:rRNA from 1 species